rnacentral:lncRNA from 1 species
CGUCUCCUACCUCACACCCCCUCCCCCCAAACCCCGCUUUCCCUUUUCUCAUCUACAACCCACAGCAAUCCAACCAUGGCAGCCAAACAGCAUCAACACCAACAAAGGAGAAAUUUCUCCUUUCGCCGUUCUCAACCCGCAGCCAUGGUCGCUGAAAUCAAGGCGAAGACGAAUAAUCGCAGAAACACACAGAAUCCAUCGUCAAACCCUAUCGCUCCAUUCCUAUGCAAUUCCAUUCAUUGUCUCUCUCUCUCUCUAUCUCUCUCCCUUUCUCAUUUUGAAACCCUAGAUUAACCCCCAAUCUGACAUGAAAUCCAAACCCCAAAAUCUCAUUGGGGUUUCAGUCUCAGCCUCAGAGGACACACACGUCAUUUGAUGAAUUGUUCGCCUCCCUUCCUCAAACCUUAGCCUCGAUUUUCUUUCCCCU